rfam:Parcubacteria (Giovannonibacteria) bacterium GW2011_GWA2_44_26 TW55_C0026, whole genome shotgun sequence.
GCCGCGGUGGCGGAAUCGGGAGACGCACAGGACUCAAAAUCCUGCGGGCGCAAGCUCAUGAGGGUUCGACCCCCUCCCGCGGCA